GACAGAGCCUCGAGCGUUAGGCGGAAUCACUGGGCUUAAAGCGUGUGUAGGCGGAUCGUUAAGUGCCUUGUGAAAUCCCACGGCUUAACUGUGGAACGGCUGGGCAUACUGGCGGUCUUGAGCCAUCUAGGGGCGACUGGAACAAACGGUGGAGCGGUGAAAUGCGUAGAUAUCGUUUGGAACGCCAAUGGUGAAAACAGGUCGCUGGGGAUGAGCUGACGCUGAGACACGAAAGCCAGGGGAGCAAACGGG
rnacentral:rRNA from 1 species